rnacentral:rRNA from 1 species
AUUGAACGCUGGCGGCAGGCCUAACACAUGCAAGUCGAACGGUAACAGGAAGAAGCUUGCUUCUUUGCUGACGAGUGGCGGACGGGUGAGUAAUGUCUGGGAAACUGCCUGAUGGAGGGGGAUAACUACUGGAAACGGUAGCUAAUACCGCAUAACGUCGCAAGACCAAGAGGGGGACCUUCGGGCCUCUUGCCCUCCGAUGUGCCCAGAUGGGAUUAGCUAGUAGGUGGGGUAACGGCUCACCUAGGCGACGAUCCCUAGCUGGUCUGAGAGGAUGACCAGCCACACUGGAACUGAGACACGGUCCAGACUCCUACGGGAGGCAGCAGUGGGGAAUAUUGCACAAUGGGCGCAAGCCUGAUGCAGCCAUGCCGCGUGUAUGAAGAAGGCCUUCGGGUUGUAAAGUACUUUCAGCGGGGAGGAAGGGAGUAAAGUUAAUACCUUUGCUCAUUGACGUUACCCGCAGAAGAAGCACCGGCUAACUCCGUG